CCGGAGCGCCUCCCCCCACCGAAGCUUGCAUUAAGUAGGUGGCUUCACCAAGUCUGGGCUGCGGGAGAGUACUGCGUUUCAGCUGUUUGAUCUUGCCAUCCUCCACCAUGGGAGUGACUUGUGUGUCCCAGAUGCCCGUGGCCGAGGGCAAGAGUGUCCAGCAGACCGUGGAACUCCUCACCCGGAAACUGGAAAUGCUUGGAGCAGAGAAGCAAGGAACAUUUUGUGUGGACUGUGAGACCUACCACACAGCUGCCUCUACCCUUGGCAGCCAAGGUCAGGCCGGGAAGCUGAUGUACGUGAUGCACAAUUCCGAGUACCCUCUGAGCUGCUUCGCCCUCUUUGAGAACGGCCCUUGCCUUAUUGCCGACACCAACUUUGAUGUGCUCAUGGUGAAGCUCAAGGGCUUUUUCCAGAGUGCCAAGGCCAGCAAGAUUGAGACCCGGGGCACCCGUUACCAGUAUUGUGACUUCCUGGUGAAGGUGGGCACAGUCACAAUGGGGCCCAGUGCCCGGGGCAUCUCCGUGGAGGUGGAGUAUGGCCCCUGUGUGGUAGCUAGUGACUGCUGGAACCUCCUGCUCGAGUUCCUGCAGAGUUUUCUCGGCAGCCACACGCCAGGGGCUCCAGCAGUGUUUGGGAACAGGCACGACGCGGUCUACAGCCCGGCAGACACCAUGGUCCAGUACAUGGAACUCUUCAACAAGAUCCGCAAGCAGCAGCAGGUGCCAGUGGCGGGGAUUCGUUAGUGACUGGCAGCUGCCCGGCUGAGCUCUGUCGCCAGAGGGACUGCACAGGAGGAGCAGGUGCUGCACCCUCAGGCCCCUGGACCCCAGAGGCCCAGGGCAGCCAGGAAGGAUUCCCUCCCUCUCCAGUUAACAGCUUUGGCUCCUGUUCUGGGGCUCCGGACUAUCUCCCCUGACCCUCCCACACAGCCCUCCAACAGCUGUUUUCACCCUUCACCUUGCUGGACUUGGCCUGUCCUCAAGAAUGGUAAUUAUGAAGAGAGAAGUUUCGAGCUUUCCUGCUUUAGGGGAAAAGGUAAGAGAGAAGAGGAAACCUAACCAAUGGCUGUGGAGUAAUAUGGAGGAAGAUGGGAAAAACUUAUUUAAUGGAGCUUCCAUCCCAGCCUGGGAGUCCUUUGCAGUGGUCACAGCUCCCUCUUCAGGGGAGUCUCAGAGUUCAUGGUCGCUACUGUGGAUCUUGAACUCUGUCUGCUGUUUCUCAAUGACAAGUACUGAGGGUAGAAUGGGAGUUACUUGACAUUUUGUGAUUUAUUGAUUUUUUUAAAAGGGGGGCACCAAAUGGUUUGGGAUUUUUUCAAAUUUUACCUGGAACCCCAACCCAAUAAAGCAAUAAAGGUGAGCCUGUCCAGUUACCCUUA